GCUCUGGUGGCCUAGUGGUUAGAGCGUCCGCCUCGGAUGUGGGGGUCGUGGGUUCGAUCACGGGUCGAUUCACACCAAACA